AUGUACAUUCCUAUAGCAUAGAAUUAAUGCACAGGAUCCCAUUAGAACUCUAUUGUUAAGAACACUUAGGCUAAAGUAGUACGAGGAUGGGUGACCGCCCAAGAAGUCCUAGUGUUUUACAUG
rnacentral:rRNA from 1 species